rnacentral:rRNA from 1 species
UACGGGGGGGGCAAGCGUUGUUCGGAAUUAUUGGGCGUAAAGGGCUCGUAGGCGGUCUGUCGCGUCGGGAGUGAAAACUCAGGGCUUAACCCUGAGCCUGCUUCCGAUACGGGCAGACUAGAGGUAUGCAGGGGAGAACGGAAUUCCUGGUGUAGCGGUGGAAUGCGCAGAUAUCAGGAGGAACACCGGUGGCGAAGGCGGUUCUCUGGGCAUUACCUGACGCUGAGGAGCGAAAGCCAGGGGAGCAAACGGG